rnacentral:rRNA from 1 species
GCUUAACACAUGCAAGUCGAACGAUGAAGCUGGAGCUUGCUCCGGUGGAUUAGUGGCGAACGGGUGAGUAACACGUGAGAAAUCUGCCCCUGACUCUGGGAUAACUGCGGGAAACUGUAGCUAAUACCGGAUACUUUCCCUGGUGGGCAUCCACUGGGGAAGAAAGAAUUUCGGUCAGGGAGGAUCUCGCGGCCUAUCAGCUAGUUGGUGAGGUAACGGCUCACCAAGGCGACGACGGGUAACCGGCCUGAGAGGGUGACCGGUCACACUGGGACUGAGACACGGCCCAGACUCCUACGGGAGGCAGCAGUGGGGAAUAUUGCACAAUGGGCGCAAGCCUGAUGCAGCAACGCCGCGUGAGGGAUGAAGGCCUUCGGGUUGUAAACCUCUUUUAGCAGGGAAGAAGCGAAAGUGACGGUACCUGCAGAAAAGCACCGGCUAACUACGUGCCAGCAGCCGCGGUAAUACGUAGGGUGCAAGCGCUGUCCGGAAUUAUUGGGCGUAAAGAGCUCGUAAGCGGUUUGUCACGUCUGCUGUGAAAUUUCGAGGCUCA